AAACAUGACCCUAAGUCUGGAUACAAAGGAAAAAAUGAGGGAUGCAGCAAGAAUGGGGGUGAUGGGGAUGAUGACCCUGUCGAUGCAAAGGAGGAAGAAAGUGUGGAAUCUGAUGAGUCAGAACAUAAUACAUUGCUGAUUGAAACUAUGGUUGUGGAGGCUUAUAACAAAGAAAAAACAUAGGGCUCUAGGGCAAUGCUGGGUAUUGAUGAUACCAAGCAUAAUGCUGAUGAGAUUCAGGUAGAUUAAAAUGAUGAUGCGUGUUCAUUUGUUACUGCUAUACCUCAUGAUAAUAUAGCUCAUUUAAAUGUGGCUAUGGAUUAUGAGCAGGUGGUGGAAAUUGAGGGAGAGGACCUUUCCAAGUUGGGGAAAUCAGAAUAUCUGGUACAAUAUCCUACCUCUUCUUAUGAGGAUGUGGGAGAGGUGAUUCCUACCCCUCCCCUUUUGGCUGAAGAGGUUUAGAGAUUUAGCUUGAGGAACUUGUAGAAUAUGGAAGGAAGAAUGCAAGAGAAAGCUAUUGUCAUUUCCCGCAAGAGAAAUCUAGAAGGUAACUCAGCAAAUCAUAACUCCUUUGAUGCCCUGUCUAAUCCUGAACUUAUGAUUCGAGCUAUAAAAAUGGGGGUAGCAUUCCCUGACAAUAACUUCUCUAAUGUGGACAUUAUUAGAGAACUUGAAAUAGUCAGGGGGGAAUUUCAAAAAAGAGGGGGAACCGAAUGUGAGGAUUGAGGAAGAGGUGAUGUAUAUCACUAAUGGAAAGGGAGACCAAACCCCUGUUAGCACUGAGUGGGGAGAUGGGGAUGAGGAUAUGGAAGAACAAUUUACCAUGGUUCGGUCUAGGAAAAGAAAAAGCCCUAAAGUGCAAGUGGCUAUCUCCAGAUCCACUACUAGAAGUCAAAAAAAUCUUGUUGAAAAAAACAAGCUGGCAGCCCUGUCCAUAAUAUCAGGGCCACCAGAAGGGGGAGAAAAGGGAAAAGAUAUAAAUGAUAGGUCUAUUUUGGAAUUGUAGGGGGCAGGAAAAAAAGGGAUGAAAACCUACCUAUCCCAUAUAAUUAGUGACCACUCCCUUGACUUUCUCUGUUUGCAAGAAACUUUAAAAAAGAAUUUUCUGGAUAGUUACUUUAGGAAGCUUGACCCACACAAUUUUUUUGAGUGGGAAUGGAUCCCCUAAAUUGGUAAGGCCCGAGGCAUUUUAUGUGGGGUUAGAAAGGAGAAAUUUGAAGUAAUUGCUUGGAGGAAAGGCAGAUUCAUUCUUCAGGUAUCUCUAUGAUAUCAAAAUGAAGAAAAUUUGGACACUUUGUACUAUUUAUGGAGCGGCCCAUGAGUGUGAUAAAACUGAAUUCCUUAGUGAAUUGGCUGAUUUUUGCUGCCAUAUUCAAACACCAUUAUUGAUCGGAGGUGAUUUCAAAAUACUCAGACAUAGUGGGGAGAAAAAUAAGAAAUGGCCUCGCUCAGCACACUCUGACCUGUUUAAUUCGAUCAUUAAUACUAUGUGUUUGAAUGAGAUUCAUAUGAGUGGGGGGCUUAUACUUGGUCUAAUAACCAAGCUCAUCCGACCUUGGAGAAAUUGGACCGUGUGAUUAUGAGCAAUGAUUGGGAGGAUAUGUUUCCUCUUGUUAAUAUGAAAAAGCUCGUUAGGGAGGUCUCUGACCACAAUGCUCUCCUAUUAUACUAUGAUAAUCAUGUUAUUAGAGCUCCACAAAAAAGUGAGUUUAGAUUUGAGCUGAGCUGGUUAAAAUCUGACGAUUUUGUUCCUCUAGUUAGCAAGAUUUGGAAUCAAAAUGUGAAUGCUACCGAUCCUAUUGAUAUUCUAAAUAUCAAACUAAAAAGAUUUAAGAAGUUUUUUAAAGGCUGGGGAUCAAAUAAAUUUGGUCAUGAGAAGAAAAGAAAGCAGGAGAUUAGAGAAGAGCUUGCUUUUAUUGAAAAGUUAGAAGAGGAAGGAAAUAUAGGCAAUGAAUUGUUUUGUAGAAAAACUGAUCUCCUUGUGGAGAUGAAUGAAAUACUUGUCAAUGAGGAACUUUUUCUGCUGCAACAAUCUAAUGAGAGAUGGUUGCUUGGGGGGAUCGAAACACCGCUUAUUACCAAAAAAUAGCCAAUGGUAAUAAGCGGAAGAAUACAAUACACUCUCUUAAUGUUGGGAGUACGGUGAUUGAGGGGACCGAGAAGCUCUUGGAGCAUGCUACUGACUUUUAUAAAAACCUUUUUGGGCCAGCCCAGGGAAACAUGUUUCAUCUUGACCCUGGUGUCUGGGGGAAGAAGAGAAGCUCGAUGAGCUGGAUAAUGAAAUCCUUAAUAGACCUUUCACGGAGGAAGAAGUGAAGAAAGCUUUAUUUCCAUGAAAAGCAACAGGGCCCCGGGCCCGGAUAAUAUUCCUGCUGAGUUUUACCAGCAUUGCUAGGAUAUAGUGAAAGAGGAUAUUAUGAGAUUGUUUACUGCUUUUCAUGCAGGAGAUCUUGAUGUUAGUAGAUUGAAUUAUGGCAUUAUAACUUUACUGCCUAAAAUCAAUGGGGCCAAUAAGAUCCAGCAAUUUAGGCCAAUUUGCUUGCUUAGAUGUCCCUACAAACUGAUCACUAAGGUGCUUGAUAACUGAGUGCCCCCCCUUGCUGACAAAUUGUUUAGUAUGCACCAGAAUGCAUUUAUUAAGCAUAGAAAUAUCAUGGAUGGAGUAUUGCCUUUGCAUGAGAUUUUGCAUCAUACUUCCAUCAAAAAAGGGCGUAUUGUUAUUAAGCUCGACUUCAAGAAAGCAUAUGACAAGGUGAACUGGGAUUUUCUGUUGGAAUGUCUCGAGAUGAGAGGGUUUGGUACCACUUGGUGUAAGUGGGUUAAAAGUAUCUUGGUUGAUGGCACAGUUAGUGUUAAGCUGAACAAUACCAUGGGCUCGUAUUUCAAAAGCUUUAAAGGGGUCAGACAGGGGGAUCUUGUGUCGCCGUUCCUUUUUAACAUAGCAGUCGAGUGUCUGUGUAAAAUGGUGCUACAGGCUCAGAAAAGUAACUUAAUUGUUGGGCUUGCACCGGACCUUAUUGAAAAUGGAGUGGCCAUUCUGCAAUAUGCAGAUGAUACAGUCUUGUGCAUAGACCAUGAUCUGGAUAAGGAUGUGAACAUGAAACUGUUAUUGUACAUCUUCGAGCUCAUGUCUGGGCUCAAACUAAAUUUUCAAAAAAGUGAAAUCCUGUGUGUAGGGGGGAUGAUGAUAUCCUUAAAGCAUAUGUUGAUAUUUUUGAUUGCCAAAUAGGGCACUUUCCCAUGAAGUAUCUAGGGGUGCCAGUAACCUUUUCCUCCUUGCGAGUAGCUGUCUGGGACUUUUUGGAGUCCAGAUACAUUAAAAAGUGUGAUUCUGGGCUGGGGGGCAAUGCCUCCUCCGUAGGACGCCUGACGUUGCUUAAUGCUAAUAUUUCUAGCAUUGCCUUUUAUUAUAUGCCCAUGUUUCUUCUAUCCAAAACUAUACUUGCUAGGAUUGACAAGUGUAGAAGGAGAUUCUUUUGGCAUGUGACUCAUAAUAAGAAACGCUAUUAUCUUGUUAAGUGGACUAGAAUUUGCAGAUCUAAGAAUAAAGGAGGGCUGGGUGUGAAAGAUUUACAUAAGCAGAACCUUAGUUUGCUUACUAAAUGGUGGUGGAAAUUAGAAACUAAAUCUGGCUUGUGGCAGGAUAUUGUGAAAGCUAAAUACUUUAGUAGGGCCACUGUGGCUGGCACUAAAAUGAAGAGCAAUGACUCGCCCUGUUGGAAGGCCAUUAUGAAGGUGAAAUAUCUUUAUAUGGCAGGAAGGAGAGUGAUUAUACAAUCUGGAGACAUUGCUAGGCUAUGGAUUGACCCCAUUGGGGACAAUAUCCCUAUGGCUGAACAAUUCCCUCGUUUAUUUUCUAUAUGCAAUUAUCCUGAGUGCACAGUUGAUAAGUGCUUAAAUGCUGAUCCUUCUUCUUUCUUUAGAAGGAGACUGAAUAAUGAGCUCAAUGAACAGUGGAUAACUGUGGGUAACAUGGCUAGGGAAGCAUGUGUCUCAGAGGCCACUGAUGUGAUUAAAUGGGGUCUGGGAGGGAAAUCCUCAUUUACCACUAAAUUUGUAUACUCUUUCCUAGAAAGGAAUAUUGCUGGGUGCGACUACAGAUGGAUCUGGAGUGCCAGGAUACCUCUUAAAAUUCAAAUCUUCUUGUGGCAAUUAUUUCAGGAUGCUGUCCUGACUAGAGAUGUGAUGAAACAUCGAGGUUGGAAAGGAAAUCCCAAAUGUUCCUUUUGUGGUGGGCGAGAGACUGCACAACACUUGUUCUUCACUUGCCCUGUCGCUAGGGUGAUCUGGAGGACAGUGGCAUGCAUGUUUGGCACUGCUCUGUGCCCCGAUAAUAUUUGGCAAGCCUAUGUGUGGUGCUUUACGCUCUUUCCUGGUGGGGAAAAGUUUUAUACAGCGGGAAUUGCUACUGUGUGUUGGGCGAUCUCGUCUUGUCGCAAUAGAGAUACCUUCGAGUUCAAACCUAUUACAAAUCCUUUUGAAUGUAUCUUUUCUGCCUGUGCUCUAACGUGCUACUGGGCAGGACUACUAAUGUAAGAUGACGCGGCUACCAUGAGGGACGGGGCAAAGAUGCUAAAGGAGAACACAUCGAUGAUGAUGAGAAUCUGUGCGGUGAAUCACGAAGAAUCGGCCUGUUGAUUUGCUGAAGGUGCUACCCCAUGGUUUAGCUAGAUGUUUGAGGUGCUUUCCCCCUGUGCGAGCAUGAACUUUUGUUGCUCAAUUGUUGCGAGCCUUAUGUCUUGUGUUCUUUUGGGGCUGUAGGCCCUGGAUUCUAGCUACUGAGAUUUGGUGUCGUUGGGUUUUCGCCCCAUGGUGAGUAAUCUCGACGACGAGUGCUCAUGGUGGGUUUCCCGGCGAUGCUCUGGACUCGCUUCCCCUUUUCUCCUAUCUUUGGACUGCUGUAUUUCCGUUAUGUUGCAGUAAUGGAAAGGGG
rnacentral:lncRNA from 1 species